CUUUCUUUCUUUCUUUUUUUUUUUUUUUUUAAUUGAGACACGGCCUCACUCUGUUGCGUAGGCUGGAGUGCAGUGGUAGGAUCAUAGUUCACUGGAGCCUCAAUCUCCUGGGCUCAAGUGAUCCUCCUGCCUCAGCUUCCCGAGUAGCUGGGACUACAGGCACGUGCCACCAUGCCCAGCUAAUUUUUUUAAUUUUUAGUAGAGACAAGGUCUUGCUAUGUUGCCCAAUACAGUGGCUACUGUACAAGAGAUGUAUCGUUUCCACUUAUCAAAUAAGGAAACUAAGGCUCAGAGAGGUUAAGUAACUUCCCAAAGUCACACAGCUUAAUCUGGAGCCAGAUUAUGAACCCAUCUCUAAUUCCAACCACUCAACCAACCAACCAACCAACCAACCAACCAACCAAAGAAAAACAAACUUAAUGCCUCACCAUAAUAUAGCAGAAAUACGAAAUAAGCAGAAAUAGCCAUAUAUGCUUAUAUAAACAGUAUUCCUUUCUUCCUCACAAUUCAUUAAUCUGGUCUGUACUCUAAUGGAACUCUCCUCCUGCUCUAGAUCUGUAGCAUUUCUAGAAAAUUAUUUAAAGAAAAGCAAUAUAUGUAAGGAUCUUUAAGUCAGAUGGUCAAAAGAAGUAAGCAUACCUGAAGUAAGUUCUCUUCUUCACAUAAAUGUUUAUCAACUUUCUUGUAGAGGUUAUCUAGACCUUUUUUUACUUCCUUUCCAGGGUACUCCUUAAUGACUUUACGAAGUUCUUGUUUGUUAAAUGCAAGUUGGUAACUUACUUCCUCCUCCCUUAUGCCCUGUGCCACGCGAGCUUCAACACCUUCAAAGAAAUGCUUCAAGGAAAUGAAAAGAAACAAUGGCUAAGACCUGCAUUUAUUAUUAUUUACAUUAAAAAAAUCUGAUUACAAAGUAGUGUAUAAUCACCAUGCAAAAAUCAGUGUGUGAAAGUAUAAACAAUAAAAUAACAAUCACUUAUUAACAUACUUCUGAGAUGAACAUUGUUAAUAUUGUAGAGUUCCUUGUAAUCUUUUGAUGUGUGAAUACAUACAGGAGAUUAAAAUUUCAUGUCCCACUUUACAUUUAAUAUUGUUUUUUCCUAAAUAUAAAUUUUAAUGGCUGCAUAAUAUUUCACACAAUGACUGAACCACAAUUAUUAUUCAUUCCUCUAGUACUAGAUAUUUAACAUCCCACUCCCCCUUCUUUUUUUGGACUUGGCAAAUCUAGUGAGACUUUAGAAAAUCUACUAUAAAUAUAUUUGUCAUAAAUUUUUUUUGUAUAUAAGUAUUUACCCAUCUUACUGAUUAAAUUUCCAGGACUAUAAUUACUCUGUUGAAGAGCAUAACUUUAAGUAUUUGAAAGAUUCUUCAGUAUAUAUACAAACUGCUUCCUAGGAAAGCUCAACCAAUUUAUAUUUCUGUCAACAGUGUAUGAGGUUGCUACUUCACUAUACCAUCAUAAGCAUUAUGACAAUUUAUAACAAUAGUUGCCAGAGUAAAAAAAGUUUGUCAUUUUAUUUUAUAAUUCUUUGGCUAUAAAUAAGGUUAACCUGCUUUUAUAUGUUUAGUAGUGAUUCAGCCCCUUGCCCCAUUUAUAAAUUGGGGUCUUAGUGCUUUUCUUAUUGAUUUUAGUAAGAUUUUUUAUAUUAAAUAUACUGACUCUGUUAUAUUAUUGUAACUAUUAUUCCCAGGUCUUCUUUUAUAUAUAUACUUUUAUUGACUGGCAUAACUGUAUUUGAGCACGAUACAAAGAAUUAAUGCUGACAAACCCCAUUCCCUCUCAUUACUUUUUUCUAAAAUUUUCUUAGUGAUUAUUCAUUAAAUUAUCAUUCUUUGAGAAGUUAUUCUUAGUGCUUUAAAAAUUUUGUUUUUACAUAAGCUCUUAAUUGGUAGACAGGAAAUACAUUGUUUUUCAGUAUAUUUGCUUUAAAUUUUGUCACUUGACCAACACCAGUAAUUUCAACAUAUCAUAUACAGGUGGUGAUAAUCUCGUCUCUGUUUUCCAUAUCUCUUAUUUAUGUUUCAGGUCUUGUUGAACUGGCUAGUGCUUCAACAACAAUGCUAAAUAAUAAAGGAUCUAACAAUAUUUCUGCUUUAAAUUGAUUUCAGAGGGAAUGUCUCUAACGUUGCAAUUCGAUUCAGUUGGAAAGACAUGGUUAAUGCUUAAGAGAGCCAGAAGAACCCAAAUCUUUGAACACACUUAGAGCAACCACAAACUGCUGUUAGAAAACUAAUGUUAAUGUUUAAGAAGUACUUGUUAUUUUAGUUUACCUUAUCAAAUUUGGUCCUGUCAGCAACAUCGAGAUCAGAGGCAGACAUGUUUCCCAUAUCCAACAGGGAAGAUGACUGAGAUCUGCGAUUCCCUGAACUCUGAACACUGAGCUUAUUUAGACUAGAAGUAGAUCCAGUUAAUUUCCCCGAACUUCCAUGAAGACCUAAGAAAUAAUAAAACUUUGAAAGUUGUGAUCUUCACAAAUAAAUGAUCCAAAGUAUAAAGCAGGGAUAGAUCUUCUAUCUUCUACUGGCUUGAUCUUCCAGGGCUCAUAUUAGUUAGUGCACAAAUCUUCUAUAAGGGAUAGGUGGUAUAGUUUCCUUAUCUUCCAUUAACAUUGGUGUCCUAAUUCUGAGCAUAUUGAAAAAAGAAGCGAAACUACACAGAUCCAUAGAACGGGACUGAAAGGGACCUUAAGGAGCAUAUUGUCUAUAACCUGCCCAUUUCAUAAAGUCGCCUGGUGAUAUCGCUAGACUAAAGUAGAUGAGGGUUUCUUUUCCAUUCAAAAGGACAGGAAUAUGGAUGAAGGUCAAUGAGGACCACGUUAGCAUAUUAGCCAGCAUGACUUUGUUAUACUUCAGAAGAAAACUGCUGCAUCUCAAUGUUACCUCCACAAUAAAUCAAUAUAUUAGGUUGAACCACA
ensembl:lncRNA novel transcript, antisense to EXOC1